GAAUGAAAAACUGCUACUGGAGAGGAACAGUGCAGAGGAUCGGCUUAACAAGCUGAAAAGAGCUAACACGGACAUCAGGGAGGAACUGGAGGAACUGCGAGUGUUACUGGCAAUGAAAGAAAGGGAAAGCACUAAGAAAAACAACACGCUGCAGAAGCUGAAGGAGACUUUUCUGGACUACCAUAGAAUCUUCGACGGUCUGCAGUGCGAUCUCAUGAGAUUACAGGAGCACUCACAGCAAACACUUCUGAGUUUCGAUAAAUGUUCAUCGAGUCUGAAAAGUCCUGCCGUCCCAAAUCAUUACUCCUUACACCAUGAGAUCCAGGAGGCCGAGCCG